rnacentral:rRNA from 1 species
GAUGAACGCUGACAGAAUGCUUAACACAUGCAAGUCGAUUCGAUUUACCUUCGGGUAUUGAGGAUGGCGGACGGGUGAGUAACGCGUAAGGAACUUGCCUCUUGGUCUGGGACAACUGUUGGAAACGACAGCUAAUACCGGAUAUUAUGAGAUUCUCGCAUGGGAAACUUAUGAAAGCUAUAUGCGCCAAGAGAGAGCCUUGCGUUCCAUUAGCUAGUUGGUGGGGUAACGGCCCACCAAGGCGACGAUGGAUAGCCGGCCUGAGAGGGUGAACGGCCACAAGGGGACUGAGACACGGCCCUUACUCCUACGGGAGGCAGCAGUGGGGAAUAUUGGACAAUGGGCCACAAGCCUGAUCCAGCAAUUCUGUGUGCACGAUGAAGGUCUUCGGAUUGUAAAGUGCUUUCAGUUGGGAAGAAGAAAGUGACGGUACCAACAGAAGAAGCGACGGCUAAAUACGUGCCAGCAGCCGCGGUAAUACGUAUGUCGCAAGCGUUAUCCGGAUUUAUUGGGCGUAAAGCGCGUCUAGGCGGAAAAAUAAGUCUGAUGUUAAAAUGCGGGGCUCAACUCCGUAUUGCGUUGGAAACUGUUUUUCUAGAGUACUGGAGAGGUGGGCGGAACUACAAGUGUAGAGGUGAAAUUCGUAGAUAUUUGUAGGAAUGCCGAUGGAGAAGUCAGCUCACUGGACAGAUACUGACGCUAAAGCGCGAAAGCGUGGGGAGCAAACAGGAUUAGAUACCCUGGUAGUCCACGCCGUA